AACGAACGCUGGCGGCAUGCCUAACACAUGCCAGUCGAACGAGACCUUCGGGUCUAGUGGCGCACGGGUGCGUAACGCGUGGGAACCUGCCCUUAGGUUCGGAAUAACUCCCCGAAAGGGGUGCUAAUACCGGAUAAUGUCUUCGGACCAAAGAUUUAUCGCCUUUGGAUGGGCCCGCGUUGGAUUAGCUAGUUGGUAGGGUAAAAGCCUACCAAGGCGACGAUCCAUAGCUGGUCUGAGAGGAUGAUCAGCCACACUGGGACCGAGACACGGCCCAGACUCCUACGGGAGGCAGCAGUGGGGAAUAUUGGACAAUGGGCGAAAGCCUGAUCCAGCAAUGCCGCGUGAGUGAUGAAGGCCUUAGGGUUGUAAAGCUCUUUUACCCGGGAUGAUAAUGACAGUACCGGGAGAAUAAGCUCCGGCUAACUCCGUG
rnacentral:rRNA from 1 species